GAAGCGGCAACAGCUCAAAUUUGAAAUCUGGCCUCUUUGGGGUCCGAGUUGUAAUUUGGAGAGGAUGUUUCGGGUACGGUCCGGGCUUAUAUUUCUUGGAACAGAAUGUCAUAGAGGGUGAGAAUCCCGUCUGGAGCUCGGACACGGCCUAUGUGAAACUCCUUCGACGAGUCGAGUUGUUUGGGAAUGCAGCUCUAAAUGGGUGGUAAAUUUCAUCUAAAGCUAAAUAUUGGCCAGAGACCGAUAGCGCACAAGUAGAGUGAUCGAAAGAUGAAAAGCACUUUGAAAAGAGAGUUAAAAAGUACGUGAAAUUGUUGAAAGGGAAGCGCUGGCAACCAGACUUGCAUGUCGGGGUUCCCCCUUGCUUUUGCCUGGGUUACUCCCCGGCGUUCAGGCCAACAUCGGUUUCGGGGGUUGGUUAAAGGCCCUAGGAAUGUACUUACCCUCCGGGGUAAACUUAUAGCCUAGGGUGUCAUGCGACCUCCCGGGACCGAGGAACGCGCUUCGGCUCGGAUGUUGGCGUAAUGGUUGUCAGCGUCCCGUCUUGAAACACGGACCAAGGAGUCUGACAUCUAUCCGAGUGUUAGGGUGUCAAAACCUUACGCGGAAUGAAAGUGAACGGAGGUAGGAAGCCGUUCGGCUGCACUAUCGACCGAUCCUGAAGUGUACGGACGGAUUUGAGUAUGAGCACCGCUGUUGGGACCCGAAAGAUGGUGAAU
rnacentral:rRNA from 1 species